CCCACGCCUGUGUACACUUCCACUCAUCUAUGCCUGGGCGGCCACAAACUGCAGGAAGAUGAAAGUGCCUGGGGUUGCCUCCAGACCUUGAUUUGUGCCACUAACGCGCUGCCGCCCUCAGCUUGGAAUCCGGCUUCUCCAGCCGCGCGGGGGAAGGUGGGAAAGGCCUCCCCCGAGGAAGGCGGGAAGGGCCCUGCAAGAUGGCGGCCACGCUGGCGUCUUGCCCGCGGGCCCUGAGGCGACCUUGAGGAGGAAGCCGCCACCCGGCCUCACAGUUCCCCAGGGGAGGGUUGCGGGGCAGCAGGAGGAAGAGGCGGAGGCCGUGCGACUGUCGGGCGUCAGCUGUUCCGUCCAUCGUCUGCCCCGCUGGCCACGGCAGCCCUCCGGCCUUCUGGCCUACUCCACCUGGCCGUGUGCCCUGCUGCCACCGAAAUUGUAAAAAAGAAGGCGGAUAAUUAAUACAACCUAGAAGGGCUGGUGAGUGAAGAGCCCAGUGUGUGCACUGAUCAGUGAGAGACAGAAGAUGAAAAGAUCUAGAGGGUGAAAAGCUCAAGUCCUUUCUUCUCCUCUCCCGCCAAGAUGCAGUUGUUUUGUGGCCUCCUGAAGGUGCCCUGGGACUCCCAGCAACGAUGGAAACUGGCUGCGAGCCUGAGGGACUGUCAGAAGCAUCAAGAGCACAGCCAGAGUGCCAUCAACAGAAAAACCUCAUAAGCAGUCAACUCUUCAAAGUCAACUUCUCUCAGUCCAAGAUAGGGAAGUGCAGAAUAUACCAAGAGAAAAUCUGCGAGAAAUAUUAUUGUGCAUUAUGGAAUCAAAAAGGAGCUUUUAAAUUUGAUUUGCAUGAUUUCCUGGCUGCCUUUCUGGAGAACCAGAAGCAUUAUCAUGGACCUUCAUGGUAGUUAAAAGUUUGACUCCCUGAAAUUCCAAGAUAUACUUUGGCACAAGACAAAAAGAACCGAACAGAUUAAAUAUUUUUCUGAUUCCCUUUUAAACUCUGGAAUAAACACAAAGUUAAAAGUUACUGUCAAUACCACAUGACUGAGUGAAAGGUAAUGAAUGUGUUUUUAUGUGCACUUCAGAAGAAUAUUUGCUACUGAUAUCCUUUGGAUAACAUAGUUGAAUCUCCCAGCACAUUUUUCCUUGUUAAAAUUGUUAAGCCAAGAUCAUUUUCAUGCUUUAAUUGCUGGAAAAAUCCCUGAGCAUUCCAAGAAAGUAAAGAUUUAAAAGAAAAAAAGAGAGAGAGAUAAAUACAGGGAAAAAACCUGAACUUCUCUUUAUAAAAGCUAACUCUGAAUGUGGAUGACUAAUGUUUUGGGAGUGAAUAGGCACUGCAUAAAAUUGUGGGUGGUAGUUUCUUCACAGUCUGUAG
rnacentral:lncRNA from 9 species